rnacentral:rRNA from 1 species
GACGAAGCACACAAGCGUUAUUCGGAAUUACUGGGCUUAAAGGGUGCGUAGGCUGCGCAGAAAGUUGGGUGUGAAAUACCUCGGCUCAACCGAGGAACUGCGCCCAAAACUACUGUGCUCGAGGGAGAUAGAGGUAAGCGGAACUGAGGGUGGAGCGGUGAAAUGCGUUGAUAUCCUCAGGAACACCGGUGGCGAAAGCGGCUUACUGGAUCUCUUCUGACGCUGAGGCACGAAAGCUAGGGUAGCGAACGGG